rnacentral:rRNA from 1 species
AUUGAACGCUGGCGGCAUGCCUUACACAUGCAAGUCGAACGGCAGCGGGGGAGAAGCUUGCUUUUCCUGCCGGCGAGUGGCGAACGGGUGAGUAAUACAUCGGAACGUGCCCUGUAGUGGGGGAUAACUAGUCGAAAGAUUAGCUAAUACCGCAUACGACCUGAGGGUGAAAGUGGGGGACCGCAAGGCCUCAUGCUAUAGGAGCGGCCGAUGUCUGAUUAGCUAGUUGGUGGGGUAAAGGCCUGCCAAGGCGACGAUCAGUAGCUGGUCUGAGAGGACCAUCAGCCACACUGGGACUGAGACACGGCCCAGACUCCUACGGGAGGCAGCGGUGGGGAAUUUUGGACAAUGGGCGAAAGCCUGCUCCAGCAGUGCCGCGUGUGUGAAGAAGGCCUUCGGGUUGUAAAGCACUUUUGUCCGGAAAGAAAUGGCUCUGGUUAAUACCUGGGGUCGAUGACGGUACCGGAAGAAUAAGGACCGGCUAACUACGUGCCAGCAGCCGCAGUAA